CUGAGAACAGUACCACAUCCAAGGAAGGCAGCAGCACGCAAAUUACCCACUCCCGGCACGGGGAGGUAGUGACAAAAAAAACGAUACGGGACUCAUCCGAGGCCCCGUAAUCGGAAUGAGAACACUUUAAAACCUUUAACAAGGAUCUAUUGGAGGGAAAGUCUGGUGCCAGCAUCCGCGGUAAUUCCAGCUCCAAUAGCGUAUAUUAAAGUUGUUGCGGUUAAAAAGCUCGUAGUUGGUUCUGUGUGCCAUGCUGUUGGUUCACCGCCUGCCGGUGUAACUGACAUGUCAUGGGACGUCCUGUCGGUGGUAAUUAAAGGCCUAUUUCUUAGAAAAGGCUCUGCCUCCAAUAAUUAAUAGGUUACUUUAAUUACCGAUUAAUACCUGCCGCGGUGCUCUUUACUGAGUGUCGAGGUAGGCCGACACGUUUACUUUGAACAAAUUAAAGUGCUUAAAGCAGGCAAAAGUCUGCCUGAAUAGUAGUGCAUGGAAUAAUAAAAUAAGACCUUGGUUCUAUUUUGUUGGUUUUCUGAAUUUAAGGUAAUGAUCAAUAUGGACAGUCGGGGGCAUCCGUAUUGCGACGUUAGAGGUGAAAUUCUUGGAUCGUCGCAAGACGAACUAAAGCGAAAGCAUUUGCCAAGUAUGUCUUAAUUGAUCAAGAACGAAAGUUAGAGGCUCGAAGGCGAUCAGAUACCGCCCUAGUUCUAACCAUAAACGAUAUCAACUAGCGAUCCGUCGAUGUUUUUUUCAUGACUCGACGGGCAGCUUCCGGGAAACCAAAGCUUUUGGGUUCCGGGGGAAGUAUGGUUGCAAAGCUGAAACUUAAAGGAAUUGACGGAAGGGCACCACCAGCAGUGGAGCCUGCGGUUGAUUUGACUCAACACUGGAAAGCUUACCAGGCCCAGACAUUAGAAGAUUGACAGAUUGAUAGCUCUUUCUUGAUUAAGUGGAUAGUG
rnacentral:rRNA from 1 species